rnacentral:misc_RNA from 1 species
ACGUCUCUCUGCUCCGCCAUCCGCCAGCGUGCGUGCGUGCUUGGAGGCACUGAAUCGUGAAGGUGCGGCAGGGGGCGACGCAUAGCAGCUUUUGCGCCUCUAUUCGCAUAGAUCUCUCUUAUCACUCUUCCGCUCCUCGCCCUGGGGGGGGGGAGGGCGUUGAGUGCCCUCUACGCCAACCUGCAAGAUACCGAUACGCAUUCAAAGGAUGUGAUGUCACUGCUUGGCACGCCGCUCGGCUCACUACUAGCAACCACCAUGGAGUCCGCCUCUGACGCGUGUCGCGAACAAGUUCGGCGCAUCCAGGCAGCCCUGCGACGCUUGGGAUGGCACCAGCGCACCGGGGAUCGCGGUACAUUCCUGAACACACCCGUCGACAGCACGGUCAAUCCGAGCGACCCACUCACCGCAUCGCCGAUGGUGACGAUGCAGUCGGCGCUGACAGCAGCAGAGGCUCGAGCGGGCGGCGAGGCAGCUGAAGUGACGUCGCCGCCGAAGAGCGUUGCGCGUGCGCCACCUACCUCGGCACCACCGGGAGUGCUGAGUGAACGUGAUGUGAACCGGGGCGCUUGCGAUUGCCGCAAUGGCUGCCGCACGAGUCCGCCGGCAGCCUGUGGCGCUGACCACGGAUCCGCACGCCUUUGCUUGCAGGCCCUGCGGCAGCACCACGACAGCUCUGCCCGAGCAGCAGCGCCACCCAUUUACCGCACCGCCGAGCCUCACACGUUUGUUCGGGUCGUGUGUGAUGGUGAGCGCGGCUCGGCACAGGCAGCGGCUGAUGUUCUGGCGCGUUCCUCCUCAGACUCGCUACCGCUGUCGUCCGCGGGGCGUGUGGCGGGCGCCGAUUCAUUCGACGAUCUCAUUGCAAGGGCCUGGGGAAGAGCGGAGAUGGCGACGACAGGAGGGGCAGGAGGCGUGGGUGGCAGGCGCACCACAACCACAGCGCCUCACAGCGGCGCCGGUCGUCACUGGGGCUGCGAAGGGUGUGCCGCUCCUCCCGAUGUAGCGCCGUCUUGCGCGGCAGAGGUGCGGCAUCCGGCGGCGUCCUCCAACAGAGCGGCGACCCCUUCUGGCGUGUCCGCGUCGGUAUCGUCAAUGUUGCCGUUCACGGCAACGCUGCCUCCGCCGUCGACGCAGCCCCACGACGACGGUCACUCGAACAGCUAUCGGACAUCACGCUUGAGAGCCCCAACUACUCGCAUAGCCUCGCUCGUCGGUGCUGAUGCUGCUUCCCACUUUAGCACCCGUGCCGAUUUCCCUAAGGACGCACUUGAUGCCGAAGUACGCCCGUCAGCCACGGCUUCCCAUGCCCGACCUCCACCGCCACCGCCAAGGCAUGCCUUGGCUGCGUCGCGGCUCCAACGGCGUAUGCUACGCGCCGUGCAGCUACUGGAUGCCGCCUUACAUGGCUCGAGGGACGGCAGCAGUGGAGGAGCCGCUACUAGAAGACUCGACAACCUUCAUCAGAUCCUCAUGACACUGACCGACUCCUGUGGGCAGCCACUUGCGCUGCCGAGUCGCGCGACAAGUGCGGCGCUGCGUUGCUUGCGGAAGCGACUUGUGCAAGAGCUGCUGCUUGGCGAUCAGGCACCGGGAAUGUUGCGGCGCUCUUCGACGUCGUCGCGGAUGCCUUUGAGGCCGUCACCGCCACGUACCCGUCACGUGGCAAUCCGCGACGGCCUCGAAGGCGACGGCGAGGCCGACGCGCGCAGCGGUUGUACCUUCUGCCUGGAAAAUGUGCCAGAUGACGCGCAUCGUGCCAACCCUCCUCCUUUCCCAGCGUCCGUCGCCUCAUCCGUUUGCUUGGCGAGCACUCGCUCCGACAUACUGGCCCCCACUGCCGUCGCUGCUCCGCCGCCUGCGCUCCCGCCUUCGCCUCCUCCAUCGUCAGCCUUAGACCCAUACACGGAGUCGCAGCAGCGGUUUCAGCAAGAGGAGGCAGCGCUGCACCACGCGCAGCAGCGACGGCUGCAGCUCCAGCGACAGCGCACCCACGCACCAUGAUCAAAGCAUGCCAGCGUGCAACGUUGACAGGGAGGGAGGGAGGGAGGAGUGGCGGCGUUGCCUAGAGAUGGCGCGCACAUGCUGCCAGACUGAGCAGAUCACCGAGAGAGGCUGCUGCGGUGCCUCUUGUGCCAUCAACGCCUUUGAAUCCCAAGAGGAGAUGAUGUGCUCCGCGCUUCUCGCUUGCCUUCCCCUGCACAUACACACCCGCAGACGCCCACACAUGCAUGCAAGCUCACUCAUGUGUACCACUUGCGGCUUCUAGAUCUUUUCCCUUUUCUGUCCGUCCACUACACACGUGCACGCGUUUAGUGGACGGACAUGCGCACGUGCAUGCCGAGCUCACUGAGGUGCACACACGCACAAGCUCAACUACUCGCACCGAUGCACGCAGGCGCAUCUGUGUAGGACUUUGCGACGAGGAGGAGAGGGAACGAGCAACGUGAAGGCAGCAGAAAAAGGGCGAGGCAGAUCGCCCAGCACACAUACAUACACAUACGCAUACGUUUGCACGUCUUCGGACAUGGCGCGUGAUGCCACGCCGCAACGGCCGACAGGGUAGGAACGACGCCCGCUGGUGGAUGCGUCACCCAAGAAGAACGCAACUCCCGAAGGAGGCGAGUCGCCCAAAAAAAAACGAAGAAACAGGGCACUUAAAGGAUCACCACAGAAGCCGGCGGCCGCAUCCGGUGCCAUGUGGGAAGGAAACAUAGACGGGUGCCAUCAUGCACAGCAGCCGAUGCACUCAACCUCUCCUUCCUUCCCGCUAGAGUUAGGCAUGCUCGCUCACGCAGAGGUACUGCAGUGAUAUGACUCCAACGCCGGCAGCGCGGAGGUUCGUCUGGCGUAGGUUCAGCACUGCUGCAGUGCUGUGGGGCAAGCGUUGUCCCCGGUGCCACUAGGGGCGCCGUCGGCCGCGCACUGCGUCACUUGGUGGACAGCAGCGCUGUAGAGCAAGUGGAUGCAAUAUAAUGCCUGCUCUGCGCUCGGCAGUGCCUGCGAAGCAUGCGCAAUGCCCUACCCAGCGUAUUACUGGCUGGAGGCGAUGCUCAGCAGCCGCGCGAGGGGGAGGAGGUGCCACUGCGCUGAUGAUGAUCUCCGCGCAUGCGCGUGCUUCGUGGAUGGAUGGUGCACACGGCUUUGCGACACGCCUGUUCUCUUGACUCGCCUUUGCGCAACAGGCACCGCCCACUGCCGCUGCGUGUGUUCUCUGUCUGUCUCUGCGCGCGCCUGUCUCAGCCAGUGCAGCAGCGACCGUGCGCAUCAGUGAGGCGUUUUAUGCAAAGUCGAUGAUGCAGCUUUACGCCAGGCUUGACGCUACUUCGGUGCGUGCCAGGUGCACGGAUGCCGUCUUGCCUGCGGUAAGCGUGCAUGCGAGCUCGCUUCUCAUGACAGCGUUUUCGCCGCAGGCGGCUUGCGUGACUUGGCGUUGUUUGUGCGCCUGUGCACUUCACAGCAUGCAUGUGUGCACGUAUGCAGACAAC